rnacentral:rRNA from 1 species
ACGUAGGGUGCAAGCGUUAAUCGGAAUUACUGGGCGUAAAGCGUGCGCAGGCGGUUAUUUAAGACAGAUGUGAAAUCCCCGGGCUCAACCUGGGAACUGCCUUUGUGACUGCAUAACUUGAGUGCUGCAGAGGGGGAUGGAAUUCCACGUGUAGCAGUGAAAUGCGUAGAUAUGUGGAGGAACACCGAUGGCGAAGGCAAUCCCCUGGGC